GAGAUAGUAAUACAAGAUCUGCUACAAGACCUUGUGUAAUCAGAUCUCCAUCCUUAAAUGGCUGCAAAAGAAGUACCAAGAAUAUUAAUAGGUCUGGUGGGGAUUGGCAGAAAUGAAGGGCCAAGGGUCUGUGAGGCCGUCGAUCCAGAUGGCAUUUGUUGCUUAUGGUGCUCACCAUAUCAAGUCUUCUUGGGAAAUGAAUAUUAUCCUCUUCCUACUUGAAGAUUUUGGACCCUGUUGGUCAUCAGCACUGCAGAGUCUCUGUAGUGGCAGCUUAUUCCCUCUCUUCAAAAAACAGGUUUGUUUCGCCAGACACGCUUCAUCAACGGGAUAGAGAUGAGGCCAUUAUCGAGAAAAAUAAUUGAAGCGUUAAAGUUCCAUAAAGGGCGAUCAUAGAUGUCAUCCGUCAAUUCAUCUGUCUAUCCCAAGAUGCAAGUCAACACGAUUGCAGUGAAACAUCAGAUGCCUCUAAUUUAAAAAAAAAAAAAAAAAAUCUUUUGUUGAUUGCCGAGACCUGGACGACGGAUUGCCCACUGGGAUUUUAAAGAUCUAUAACCAAAUCUCCCACAAGUGUCGGCAUUAAAAAGCCCUCUCUGUUGGUUUUGAAUGAAUACAGUUGAUUAUUCACAGAGCGCCAAACCAUGAUUACAAUCAGGAUGUAUUACUGUGAUCAACACGGUAUGACAUUCAAUCAGGGGUUUUAAUCGGGAGAAUGAAUGAUAGCAAUCAGGUUGUUAGAGCCAAAUAGUCUAUUCUUGACAGAAAUCCACACUAUAUUUACCGCAAGCUAUGAUAAGGAAUAAAAUAUGACUUAAUUAUGGUCUGUUUUGAAAAUAGCUUGUUGUUCAAAAGUCAAGAAUUAAUUAAUGUCAAAAAGAUAAAAUAUUUUUAAUUAAAAAGAAUUUAUGACACCACCAUCCUUGUUAAGUCCUAGAAAGCCAACACAGUCCGAUAAUCUGAGGAUGAAAACAUUUUCAGAGACCAUAAUGUGAAUGAUUAUUUUCUUAGAGGACACUAGAGAAGGACAAAUGAAAUCUAUUCACACACUUCCAUUCACUCUAUUGUCAUUUACUGUAUGUGUUUUUGUCUUCAUCCUGGAAAUACUUCUGCACUGUGAGACUCAAUAUGCCACCUGUCUCCCUCACUUGCCUUUUAUCAAAAUUCUUUCUAUGAAAAACAAAUUAUUUGAAUGAUCUUACGUCGACUCUCUCGGCAAAAUGUCUAAGCUGUUAUGGGCCAAGCUCUGUCUGGAUCAGAAGCUAAAUAAACAUGCCUGUAGAACAGGGAAUCCACUAAGCUAUAACAACCCGAUCUCACGGCAAUUCGUACGAAUUUUA